rnacentral:rRNA from 1 species
UCGGGAAUUUUGGGCAAUGGGCGAAAGCCCGACCCAGCAACGCCGCGUGAGGGAUGAAGUAUUUCGGUAUGUAAACCUCGAAAGAAUGGGAAGAAUAAAUGACGGUACCAUUUAUAAGCUCCGGCUAACUACGUGCCAGCAGCCGCGGUAAUACGUAGGGAGCAAGCGUUGUUCGGAUUUACUGGGCGUAAAGGGCGCGUAGGCGGCGCGGUAAGUCACUUGUGAAAUCUCUGAGCUUAACUCAGAACGGCCAAGUGAUACUGCUGUGCUAGAGUGCGGAAGAGGCAACCGGAAUUCUUGGUGUAGCGGUGAAAUGCGUAGAUAUCAAGAGGAACACCUGAGGCGAAGGCGGGUUGCUGGGCCGACACUGACGCUGAUGCGCGAAAGCCAGGGGAGCAAACG